CGGCGGGGGGGGGUGACCCGGUGCGGUUUUGUCACCUCCCGGUUGGGGACCGGUGUCCCGGAGCACCCCCCCGGGGGAGUAGCCCCGGUUCUGCCCAGCCUGGGGUGGGGGGCACCGGGCGGGUCCAGGUGUGCACAGGUACAGCCCAGGUGUGCCCAGGUGUGCACAGGUGUGCCCAGGGACACCCCAGGUGUGCCCAGGUAGACCCCAGGUGUGCCACAGGUGGGCUCCAGGUGUGCACAGGUGUGCCCAGGGACACCCCAGGUAUGCCCAGGUAGACCCCAGGUGUGCCACAGGUGGGCUCCAGGUGUGCACAGGUGUGCCCAGGGACACCCCAGGUAUGCCCAGGUAGACCCCAGCUGUGCCCAGGUGCAUCUCAGGCGUGUCCCAGCUGUGCCCAGGGACACCCCAGCUGUGCCCGGGUGUAUCCAGGUACAUCUCAGGUGUGCCCAGCUGUGCUCUGGGUGUACUCCAGGUGUGCCCAGGUGCACUCCAGGUGUGCCCAGGUGUGCCCAGCUGUGCGUGUUCAUGUGCUCUGUGUGUGCAGCACGAGAUCCGAUCACUCCUUCCGUUCUCCAUUUCGUCCUUGGGUUGAUUAUUUGAUUAUUUUUGGGUUUUAUUUGAAUUUCAAUUCCUUUUUCGUCCUUUCCCCCCUUUCCUCUGAUUUUGUGGUUUUGUUUUUUAUUUUAUUUUUUUUUUUGUAUCUUGGUCAUUUUUGUACAGAAGAAACGAGAGCCUUUUUUUUGAAUAACAAAGAGAAAACACACGCAAAAAAAAAGGACAAAAAACCAAAAAAAAAAAAAAAAAAAAACAAAAAAAAAAAAAAGAAAAAAAGUUUUAAAAAAAAAAAAAAGGAAAAAAAAAAAUCAUGAUGCAAUUUCUUUGGAUUGCAAAAAAAGCAACUCUUUACAUUUAAGUGAAGUGUCUUAACAUUUUAUAUUGUUUUAAAAAAUAUAUUUACAUAUUAUAUAUAUAUAAUAUACGUAAUAUAAAUCUAUAUAUAAAUAUUUAAAGAGGGGAAAAUAAUCUAAAAAAAAAAAAAAAAAAAAAAAAAAAAAAAAAAAAAAAAAAAAAGAAAAAAAAAAAAAAAAAAAAAAAAAAAAAAAAAAAAGAGAAGAGGAAAAAGAAGAGAAAUAAAUAAAUAAAUCACGUCCGGAAUUAUUUAGGG
rnacentral:lncRNA from 1 species